GCACCCAGUUCCAACACAGUUUUUCCUUCAUACGGCGGAAGCAGAGAGAGCACCUCAGGUCUCUCUUCUUUGUCGAGAUCCGCUGCUUUAGAGUCGAGCAUCAUGGCCUCGACAGUGAGUUCCGCAGUGUGCUCAAUCCAAUAACUCUUUUGAACCUCACGCUCUUGUCCUGAAGCAGCAGCCAUGGUUGAUUGAUGAUAAGAGAAAUGUGAUGUGAUGAUUUGGAAUGUUUGAAGAAGAGAAUGUUGAUUGGGAAUUAGUAUAUGGUAGAGAAAUAAAUUGCUAGAAACCCUCUAUGGCAAGACGAGAUCUAGAGAAGCUCCUGGAUCUACGGUUAUUGUUUCUACCUUUCUGCUGCAUCAAUCAGCUAGAAGUGAAAUUUGUUUUGUUUUUGUGAAAAAAAAAAUGCAAUCGAAACGAAAUGGCAAUGAAAAUGGGAAAACAGGGGACUGACUAUCAAUGAGUUGAUAUUACAGAAAGAGAGAGAAUCCCAG
rnacentral:misc_RNA from 1 species